rnacentral:snoRNA from 1 species
AUGUACCCCCCACACACACUCACCACAGGGCCAGGUGUGCAAUGGCUGUAAUCAGCAGCCUCCUCAAUAGUAUCUUCAGCACUGGAGCUUGUAUGGUUUGUCCGCAAGGACCUUGGAGACAGUU